rnacentral:rRNA from 1 species
GUGCCUAAUACAUGCAAGUCGAGCGAACAGACGAGGAGCUUGCUCCUCUGACGUUAGCGGCGGACGGGUGAGUAACACGUGGAUAACCUACCUAUAAGACUGGGAUAACUUCGGGAAACCGGAGCUAAUACCGGAUAAUAUAUUGAACCGCAUGGUUCAAUAGUGAAAGACGGUUUUGCUGUCACUUAUAGAUGGAUCCGCGCCGCAUUAGCUAGUUGGUAAGGUAACGGCUUACCAAGGCAACGAUGCGUAGCCGACCUGAGAGGGUGAUCGGCCACACUGGAACUGAGACACGGUCCAGACUCCUACGGGAGGCAGCAGUAGGGAAUCUUCCGCAAUGGGCGAAAGCCUGACGGAGCAACGCCGCGUGAGUGAUGAAGGUCUUCGGAUCGUAAAACUCUGUUAUUAGGGAAGAACAAAUGUGUAAGUAACUAUGCACGUCUUGACGGUACCUAAUCAGAAAGCCACGGCUAACUACGUGCCAGCAGCCGCGGUAAUACGUAGGUGGCAAGCGUUAUCCGGAAUUAUUGGGCGUAAAGCGCGCGUAGGCGGUUUUUUAAGUCUGAUGUGAAAGCCCACGGCUCAACCGUGGAGGGUCAUUGGAAACUGGAAAACUUGAGUGCAGAAGAGGAAAGUGGAAUUCCAUGUGUAGCGGUGAAAUGCGCAGAGAUAUGGAGGAACACCAGUGGCGAAGGCGACUUUCUGGUCUGUAACUGACGCUGAUGUGCGAAAGCGUGGGGAU